UUGGACGUUUCUCGCAGAAAUCCUGGCAUGACCUUUGGCUGUAUUCUCGUGAAGAGUGCUGUGUGAUCUGAAUACAUGGUUGCACUAUGCAGUGAAAGGCAUUCUGCAGUUGGGAUUAUGGUAGAUUGACUGCAAAAUGUGAGGAAGCAAUCUAUUGAAUACUGAAAACCCAAAGUGACUACUACUUCUCCAGCAGCAAGGGCUAUAUAAUCUAAAGAUUUCACAGUUGGUGGAGAUGUCCUGAACUUGCUUUGUGCUGCAAUCUCUUGUACAUGUACCACCAGAUUCCAGGAAUGUGAUAACUCAACUUUACUUUCAUCAUAGAGGUGUUGUGGUCUAGUGAAUAAGUCAUCCGACUGCAGAUCACAAGGUACAGGGUUCAAGUUCUGCUGC